rnacentral:rRNA from 1 species
UACGGAGGAUGCGGGCGUUAUCCGGAUUUAUUGGGUUUAAAGGAUGCGUAGGCGGAUUUUUAAGUCAGCGGUAAAAUGUCCGGGCUCAACCCGGGCCGGCCGUUGAAACUGGGGAUCUUGAGUGGGCGAGAAGUAUGCGGAAUGCGUGGUGUAGCGGUGAAAUGCAUAGAUAUCACGCAGAACUCCGAUUGCGAAGGCAGCAUACCGGCGCCCGACUGACGCUGAGGCACGAAAGCGUGGGGAUCGAACAGG